CAGGCUUUUUCUUUUACUUCGCUCGCCGGACAGCCACAAGACAGUGCCGUCACUUCGCCUUGGGCCAUAUACAUUGUGCUUGCUGGCUUUCGUUGAUCAUUAAAAAGGAGAAUGAUUUCGAAUUUUACAGUUUUUACAAGUGCAGUGAAAGAAUUAGCAAUGAGUACGGAGACGCAGAAGAAACCACCCGGACCUCCUCCAAUUGUCAGAUUGGAGAAGGCACUGAAUUUGGCUGAACAAUGGGUUAAUACUAUGACUAAAGUGGUAGAGGAGAAAACAAUAGAAGUGGAACCAGAGGGCUGUCCUUACAAUUUAGUUUAGCAUUUUUUCAAAUUUCCAUUAUUAAAUUUCUUGUCUCAUUGCGCUGUCUGAAGGAUAUUUCUCAUGUUUUUGUUGAUUGGAGCCAAAUUUGUGCGUCAAUCUAAAGUUGGACCCUUAAAUGAUUCGGUUGAAAGAAAAUUACAUGCCAAAUCGGAAGCCGGAAAGAGAAAAGCUGCCAAAAGUAUUGAAGAAUCCUUCCCAUCUACAAGAGAAGGACAUAAUGGCAAUGAUAAGGACAUUGAUGAUGACGACAGCGAUGGAGAAUCAGAAAACAAAACCAGUGCAUUUGCUAAGAAGAGAGCUGGUCCUCCAACUUCAUCUUUACAGGAAAGAAGAACACAAGUACCUUGUAAGAUUAGGUGUAGAUUGAAUGUAAUUAUUCGCACUACCUUAUUCUAAAAUAUUUAUUUCACGUAAACUCGAUUUUUAUCUUUUUA